rnacentral:lncRNA from 1 species
UCGCUCUCUCCUCCAACUGCUGCAAUCUGUUAGAAAUUACUCUUCCAAACAGCCAGACUUCGCCAGCUUCAGGAAAUUCCAAGCUGGGCAGGGGGAGGGGCCGGGCUGGGGGGCGCGCCCUGGCCGUCCCCCACCCGCUCUGCGCGUCCUCUGAGCACACCCAGUCCCGGCCUCGGCCCGCCCCACACUCAGCCCGCAGGCCUCAGCUUUUCCACCGCCGCUUUCUAGUCCUUUAAACCCUAGAGGCAAACUUUCGGAUACUAAGGGAGGUUGGGAGGGGCCUGUGCCCAGACGGCCUGGGCUGGCCUGGACGGCUCCAGCCAUGGCCCCCGAGAGGGGCUGACGCUACGGUCCCCGGUGCAGGUGAGAACCGCCUGGAGAAAGAAGGCAGAGGGUGCGGACCUGGGACUCGGUGGCCGGGGCGGGCUCCGAAGCGAGGAGACGGGGGUCCCCCCGCCGGAGCCUGAGAGCGCGCCUGCCCCACUCGGGGAGGACCGAGAGGUAAGGGGGCAGCGGGGAGCCGGGCUCCCGGGUCAGCUUCGGGAGGACGCGGGACAGACGGGCCCAGGGACCGCGGGCGCUCCAGCUCGGGGCGGCCGCCACGUGGCGGGAGGAAGCGCGGCGAGCCGUGGGGCGGGGGUCUCCCCCUCCCGGACGCCUCGGGAACCGGUCCGGCCGGGUGUGGAGCGGGCGCCUAUUUCCGUUUUGGCGGGGCUGGGGCCCGGAGAGGACAGAGGUGAACCAGCUGUGCCCUCCCUCCUGCAGCUGGAGCGGCGGGCCUGCAGGGGCGGAUGGCAGCGGGAGGGGCCCUCCGGGGUCCCACCCUCACUCCUGCACUGUCUUUUGCACAUUUGUCACAAACAACAGCCCCUCUGUAGGAGCCUUGGCCGGCUGACGGAGGUUUUUCCUAGAAUGACCUCAUUGCCUCUAGCACACAACUCUGCUUGCGGGAGGUUGGGGCCUUCUAUUUAAGAGGACCCUGGGAUUCGAGGUUCUGAGAAGGGGAGUGACUUGCCCGAGGCCCUCAGAGCCAGCAAGAGGCCACUCAGAAGCGAUUUCGAAGUCAUUACUCUGCCUGGAAUGGAGAAAAGAAAAGGCAAACAAACACGGUCAAGGAUGUAGGAAAUCCUUGGCCUUUAUGGCAUAUCCAAGUGUUUUUUACAUUCGGAUGCACACCCACCCACCCUAUCCAAGGGGGGCUAUGAGCAAUAGGCUAUCAUCUGUAGAGUCUCAUCAGGUUUAGACUCUGCCUGGUUUCUGAAUCCAGACACAACAUUCAUUGCUGUGUGACCCAAGGCAACUUACUCUCCCUCUCUAUUCCUCAGCCACCACCUCUAUAAAACUCAUUGCAUUGUUCCGAGGAUUGAAUGAGUUUGUGUAUUUGAGUGAAAGCAUUUAAGUCCUCUACCCACCCACCCCACCCCACCCCAGAAUAAGUCCUUAGGAAGUAUAACAUCAGCAUCAUGAAUGUCCUUUACAAAUACCCCUAGCAAUCAGGCAUUCUGACUUCUACUUUUCAGUAGAGUAAACUGAGGUCUAAGGUUGAGGAAGUUAGGUCAGGGUCCCACAGAAAAGAAAUGGCAGGUGUGUUUGGCCAGGCACUGGAAAAUGGUGGUAGUGAUGCCUUGUAGGGCAAUGCGAGGAUGGGCUGAGGUUACAGGCUAGGGCAUGGGCAGGGAGGAAAGCCAGGGACUGAGAGCUGUCCCCAGAGGACUCAGUUCACGAGGCAGCAGGCAGGAGAAGUGGUUAAGUCUGGGCUCUGUGACCUUGGGCCAGUCAUAAACCCUCUCUAAGUGUGUCCUCGGGGACAAGGGGGAGUGAUCUCAGGUGGCCACUGAGCAUUUUAUUGAACUUUUGCUCUCUGCUGGGCACUCUGCCAAGACUUACUGGCAACAUCUCACCAAUCUCGAAAAGAGACUAUGAAGUGUUACAGGAAGAUCCUGUGUUCCUAUGUUACAUUUUUGAGAGGGGGAAAGAAACCUUAGAAAGGUUAAGUAUUUGCCCAAAGCCACACACACACACACACACACACACACACACACACAGCCAGAUGGAAACCUAGGCAUUUGGCUGAGUUGUGGUCUUUUCACCGGCAACUCACUGCACAGUAAUGACACUCACUGUGACCAUGGGGAGAGGGUUUUUUAUUUUCAACUGUGAAUUGAGAUUCAUUAAUGAGCAGAGGUAAGCAUUUAAAAAAUAAAAUAAAAUAGAUUAGAAUUGAAAACAUCACAGUGCCUAGCAUGUUGUUUCAUAAAAUUUUGGUUUCCUUUAUGCAGAGGUGGGGAGGAGAGGUGAUUGCAUGUCAUGUUGCAAUUAAAAUAUAUUUGUUCAUCUAAGCUGAGGUCAGAGAAGUUUGAGAAACACUACAGAAUCUUGUAAAUCAAGACUGGUUUUCCCAGAGAAAUAAAUGUAAAGUGUGUGAGUGUGUGUGUGUGUGUGUGUGUGUGUGUGUGUUGGGGUACGGCAAAGGUCAAUUCCUCAGAACACACUGGACUAUAAUUAUUUUAAAUCCUCUUAGCUUUAAUUUUUCUCUGCAUUAUCAGUGAUAUUUCCCAGGGUGCUAGUUACUGAAAGAAUAAUGUUGGUUGCUUUGACUUCUUCAUAGGAUUUUAUCAAUUCUUUAUUUUGUUCUACAGUUAUGUAAGGACACACUCCCCCCGCCCCACACACACACCCAGCACUAGCACUACCAAUUAGCUGGCACUAUUACAAAUAUAGUUUUCUUUAAUUGAGAUUUACUAUGUGCCCUGCAAGGAAGGUACUGUUAUUUUACCCAUUUUACAGAGAGGAAACAGACAUAAGGAAAUCACGUAAUUUAUCCCAAUCAUACAGCUGGCGAAGGGUGGGGCUUUACUUCAAAGAGAAAGAAGAUUAUUUAUUAUGAUGAUGAUGAUGAUGAUAACAGGCACUAUUAAAACAAAAGUACAAAGUUAUCAGAGUCCCUCCCAGAAAUUCCAUAAAAACAGCCAGGUUCCAGGAUACAGGCAAAGGUUGGCAGACACUUCUUUUAUGUAGAAUCCAGGGCAGCCAUGAGGAAAUAGUGCACCUAGUUUAUAGUGUGCAACCUGCCAGUUUCAAUUUAUGCCAUUGUUGUUAUUCUUAGAGAAAUUUGCAAAAUGUAAGACAGUAUAUUGUCUCUUUCUGGACCAAAUACUCAAAUUAUAAAAGGCUGUGUGAGCAUCCUGAUUCCUGGAUUGGAGCUUUUAGGCAGACUUGCAUUAUCACUUGUGUGUGCCCUAGGCAAAGCUUUCAUGGGUAUAGAUUUUAUUUAUUUAUAUUUUAUAACUGUUGGUGUGAAGACAGAUAUAAUCCACACAUUUUGAAAUAAAUCAAAACACUUUAACAUUUUCCUGGGCCUCUAGAAGUGUGUGAGUGGUGGGCCCUAGGCACUGUGCCUGCCGCACUUGGUGGACAAAGUGCCCCCUGUCUCCAGGGAAGGGUCCUGAAAAUCUCUGCCCCGGAGAUGCUGGAGUUUCUCUGUCAAGCUUAGGAAACACUCGGGGAGAGCUGGUGAAGCCUGUUGCCUGGCCUGUAGGAAGACCGCAAUCUUAGUUCUUACUGGGAUAAGCGCGGCGCGUUGGUCAUGCGCAGGCCUGAAUUGCAAUCUGGGACCUAGGGCCUCUGGAGACGCAGUUUGCACACCUGUAAAAUGGACGUAACCCCGCCACCAUCGUCCCGCGUGUUUGCGAGCGCAUCCUUGGAACCGCUGCCUAGGCCCAGGGUGGGUGCGCGGCGUGGGUUCCCCCUCGGGCGGAGGCCGCGCUGACCCGC